rnacentral:rRNA from 2 species
UGGGGAAUAUUGCGCAAUGGAGGAAACUCUGACGCAGCAACGCCGCGUGAAGGAUGAAGGUUUUCGGAUUGUAAACUUCUUUGAUCGGGGACGAUAAUGACGGUACCCGAAGAACAAGCCACGGCUAACUACGUGCCAGCAGCCGCGGUAAUACGUAGGUGGCAAGCGUUGUCCGGAAUUACUGGGUGUAAAGGGCGUGUAGGCGGGAAGACAAGUCAGAUGUGAAAGCCCACGGCUUAACUGUGGAACUGCAUCUGAAACUGUUUUUCUUGAGUACUGGAGAGGAAAGUGGAAUUCCAAGUGUAGCGGUGAAAUGCGUAGAGAUUUGGAGGAACACCAGUGGCGAAGGCGGCUUUCUGGACAGUAACUGACGCUGAGGCGCGAAAGCGUGGGGAGCAAACAGG